CCUGAAUGCCUUUGUGACCUUCACCUUGGCACAAGCUGGAACAUGGAUGGAGGUGCGGAAGGGAAUGCUAAGUUCCUGUUUAAAGUAGUCUUGCAAGUGCACUUCCCAGCAGAUUUUAGGACCAUGUUUUGCAAUGCUGUUCCGGAAUGCAGAUGUCCUGACUGCUCCGCUGAUCAUGGGUGUCUUUUACUUUCUCCCCUCAACUUUAUUCUCCUCUAGAAUGUAAUGUCUACUGGAAGUUAAAGAGCUAAAGGCAAAAAAAAAAAAAAAAGCAGAAGUGGUGUUUUAGAAUGACUAUUUAACAAGCAUCCCAGUAUGUAAUCACUUCCAGGGAUCGGUGUACGUGAGAUACGACAGCUGAAGGAAUGAUCAGCUUCUGAGAUUCCUUUGGUAGCUCAGUAACUGUGU